AGACCAUGAUGAGGACAACACUGAAGUAAAUCUUUGUAUAUUUCCCAAGCCUCGUACAAUGAUUUAGAAUUUAGUUGCAUGAAUGAUGUGAUAUCAUUCCUCAUUUU
rnacentral:snoRNA from 1 species